AACUCCACCUUAAAAGAUGGAGGACAACAGAAAUGGUGUGAUUCACUUAAUUCUUCGUCUUCUGAGAGAAGAGAUUCAUCAGAUCAUUCCUCUCCUCCUCCUGCUAUUCUGAGGUGGAUGUAUCUUUGUAUGGAGAUAAUCUUUUAUUGUUGUUGGGAGUCUCACUUACUUGAAAUGGGUUCCUUCCAAUGUUCUUAUCUCCAGUUUUGAGUUAUAGCCAGUUUCCACGUCACACGCCCACAAGCUGGACCAAUGUCUGGGGAAAUCGCUGGAUGAUAUUCCUCAUUAUGAUUGGAUCUGGUUUGAUAAAGAUGAGAGGUGAUAGCUGUUGGAGGGACUUGACUUGUAUGAACUAUCAUUAUGAGGUUUGUACAUUGUAUAUUGUAUAGUGUAUGAUGCUUUAAUGUGGUGGAGUUUCAGUUUGACAUUUUGUGAUCUGAGAUUGAUUUAUAAUCAGCAUAA